GGCUUAUGGAGGGGGANAANACUGGAAACGGUAGCUAAUACCGCGUAAUGUCUACGGACUAAAGGGUGGGACUUUCGGGCCACCUGCCAUAAGAUGAGCCCAAGUGAGAUUAGGUAGUUGGUGAGGUAAUGGCUCACCAAGCCGUCGAUCUCUAGCUGGUCUGAGAGGAUGACCAGCCACACUGGAACUGAGACACGGUCCAGACUCCUACGGGAGGCAGCAGUGGGGAAUAUUGCACAAUGGGGGGAACCCUGAUGCAGCCAUGCCGCGUGAAUGAAGAAGGCCUUCGGGUUGUAAAGUUCUUUCGGUAGCGAGGAAGGUGGUUGUUUUAAUAGAACAAUCAAUUGACGUUAACUACAGAAGAAGCACCGGCUAACUCCGUGCCAGCAGCCGCGGUAAUACGGGGGGUGCRAGCGUUAAUCGGAAUAACUGGGCGUAAAGGGCACGCAGGCGGACUUUUAAGUGGGAUGUGAAAGCCCCGGGCUUAACCUGGGAAUUGCAUUUCAGACUGGGAGUCUAGAGUACUUUAGGGAGGGGUAGAAUUCCACGUGUAGCGGUGAAAUGCGUAGAGAUGUGGANNNNUCCGAAGGCGAAGGCAGCCCCUUGGGAAUGUACUGACGCUCAUGUGCGAAAGCG
rnacentral:rRNA from 1 species